AUGUAUGUGUAUAUGUAUGUGAGUAUAUGUAUAAGUGUGUUUAAAUAUAUAUGUGUAUAUAUGUAUAUGUAUCUAUGUAUGUGCAUGUGUAUAUAUAUGUGUGUAUAUGCGUAUAUGUGGGUAUAUGUGUAUAAUAUCUAUAUAAUAAUAUAUACACAGCGUAUAACACAUAAUAUGUAGCGACUUCCGAAUAUUGGCGCGUAACGUCACGUUCACGUCGGGUAACGUUACGUCAUUUGUUUGUAUUUUUGUAUUUACUUCCGUUAUGAUCGACAGAAGAAAACGCUAUGUAAAGUUGUCAUAAUAAUCGUUUACUGAAGAAGGCCUUUGGUCGAAAUAUUUAAUAAAAGAUUCAGUCUUCGCUUGAUCAACUGUUUGUUGCGCGGGCGACACAGCUUUUAUAUUUACGGAACAAACCUCAUCCUUCGAUUGAGAUGCAGAAGGACGUAAUAAUGGACUAUACUUACGUCAAAAAUACAUUGACGCUUCCAAAACGUUAGAUCUACAAGGACCUCUUUAUCACAGUUUUAGUACCAUUAAUCGGUUCAUAUUAAACCAAGUGGAUGUGAAACUGAAAUUGUUUUGGAAUACACCAAUGUUUUGUUUAAAUUCAGCAGAUGAUGCUCCUGAUUAUAAAAUAGAGAUUCUUGAUAUAUACUUACUUGCUAGAAAAGUGCGUGUGAAUCCAUCGUUGAUCAUCGCUCAUGCUAGUGUUGAAGAACAGCACCGCUAAAUACCCAUAUAACAGACUUGAAUGUCGAUCGCAGAGCAUCGCUACUGGAAGUACAUUGUUUGCAUCGGAUAAUUUAUUUCAUGGUCAACAACCAAGUGAGGUUGUGGUAGCAUUCGUAAAAUCUAGAGCACUUUCUGGUGACUAUAAAUCGAAUCCGUUUCAUUUCUUAAAUUGUAACAUACAGAGUAUUUGUUUGUAUGUAGACGGUGUACCUGUAGGUGGUCGCCCAUUACAGCUUAAUUUCGAUUCUACUCAAGGACAGGCGUUUAUGAGAGCAUAUACAAAUUUAUUUACAGCAAAUGGUACGUGGAACAAAAGUGAAGGUAUUGAUAUCAGUAGAGAAGACUUUGCAAAUGCUUCUACCUUAUUUGCCUUUCAAAUAGAACCAAUAUUUUCAGAAAAUGCAUUAUUUUUAUCGCUUAUGGAAACAGGACAUAUAAGAUUCGAUAUACAGUUUAAACAAGCUCUUACUGAAACCAUCAGUUGUAUUGUAUAUAGCGAAUCACCAGGCUUUUUUCAAAUCAACAAGCAACGCGAUAUAAUCACAGACUAAUGAUUUGAAAAUGAUGUUUUUCAAUGUAUACUUUCAAUAUUUAUCAGUGUUUUUAAUUCAUAUGUAAAUAUGUAUAAUGGUGUUGUUUCAGAGACUUUUUGUAUCAAUUAUGUAAAUGUACUUUGCUUAAAUAUGUGUGUGUAUGUGUGCGUGUGUGUGCGCGUGUGCGUGUGCGUGUGCGUGUGUGCGUGCGUGCGUGCGUGCGUGCGUGCGUGCGUGCGUGCGUGCGUGCGUGUGUGUGUGUGUGUGUGUGUGUGUGUGUGUGUGUGUGUGUGUGUGUGUGUGUGUGUGUGUGUGUGUGUGUGUGUGUGUGUGUGUGUGUGUUGGUUUAUAUCACACAUCGAGGUACUUCAUAGAAGUACACAGCCACACUUCGAGGUACCAAAAAAUAGCGAGGUACUUUUCCCUAGACCUCGGUACGUGUACCUCGCCAACCGCUUGUAAAAACCAUUGUACACAAUUUCCGCUCGUUUCUACGGGUACCUCGGUAUAACGUUGUAGUACUGGUUUGUGUGUCAGAGUGUGACCCCACACACUUGACAUCCAUCUCAGAAGCUUUUUUGGUUCCCGUUUCGAAAACGAGCGCGCGCAGAUAAAUCUGGAAACCAGUUACUGACCUAUUUACCGAGUAGAUUGGUUACCUCCCCUUAUCUAUCGUUACUCCCUAUAUAGAGAGGACCUCGGUGAAUCGGUCAGCAACUGGUUUAGGUGAGUUACGAGCACACAGU